rnacentral:rRNA from 1 species
GACGAACGCUGGCGGCGUGCUUAACACAUGCAAGUCGAACGGUGAAGCGCCUUCCUUUUUGGUGGGUGGGGAUGAGUGGCGAACGGUUGAGUAACACUUGAGUAACCUUCCCCCUUCUUCUGGAUAACCGCAUUAAAGUGUGUCUAAUACGGGAUAUUCUGGUUCUGUCGCAUGAUUGGUCUGGGAAGGAUAUUGUUUCUGUAGGCGAUGGGCUCGCGUCCUAUCAGCUUGUUGGUGGGGUGAUGGCCUACGAAGGCGGUGACGGGUAGCCGGCCUGGGCGGGUGGCCGGCCAGACAGGGAGUGCGACAACGUUGAGACUCAUACGGGAGGCAGACGUGGACAGUAUUGAACAAUGGGGGAAAGUCUGCUGCAGCGACGACGCGUGAGGGAUGGAGCCCCUCGGGUUGUGACCGUCUUUGGGUAGUGAAGCAGGUCCGCCUGGUAUGUGGGUGGGUUGACGGUAGCUGGAUAAGAAGCGCCGGCUAACUACGUG